GUUCUUUCAAUCUGGACCUCGUGGCCUUCAAUUUGGGGGACUUUUCUGGUGUUAUUUCUUUCAUUAUUUCCUCCUCCAUUUUUUUGAUUCUUAAAAUGCUGCCCUUUAGGGAAAGAGAAAAUAGUGGCGUUUCCCAAAAGCAUCGCAUCACGCACCCCCACGUCCCGUCUUUCACCACCCCACGGGUGCACGCACACACGAGCACACGCACACAUGUGCACACAUACACGGGCAUGUUUGCGUGCCUACCCCGUUGCUGUUUUUCCCUUGUACGGAGCUCCGUUACCUGACUCCUAGUUAAACUGACUUAAAAUUGUGCUGCAUCUGGACACGGACUGUGGAGGAAUGUCGCAGGCGGGCACCCGGGCCCUGAUGCCCUUCACGGCGUGAGGUGCCCGAGCGAGAACGAGGAGAGCGGGGGAGGAGGGUCUGCCACCACUCCCACCGUUCCUCGGGUGUGAGCUGGGGAGUCCGGCUGGACCUGGGGGUUCGGGCUGUUGUGGGAAGGACAAGGGUUAAGGCCGGGACGAGCUCGUUUAAUCCCCAGUCCAGACCCUCACCCCCUCCUGUCUGUUAGAUGGGAUCACGGAAAACACAACGUUGGCGGCUCGCUCAAGGUCACCCCGGGAAGUGAUGGAGCCGGCGUCCGAGCCCAGGUGCGGUGGGCAGGGAGUCGGGUCACCUCUGAUGGGGCUACAGGUGCAGGUGUCGCGGUCAGAGGCAGGGGACCAAGAAGUGUCCGCUUCCCCCAGGGGUGAAGGUGAAGGAGGCAGAGCGAGGGCGGAAUGGAGUGGUGCGGAUUGACACCCCCUAGCACCCACCGGAGACCUAAGUGGAGGGGCGGGUCACGGCUCGUCAGCCUGUCCCUUGAGCGGCCGCGUGUCCUGGGAAAGCCACCUGCCCUGGAUCUGUUGCCUCAUCUACAGCGGGGGGGGGGGGGGGGGCGGAACAUCUCCACGGCUCUUGGCGACUCUGAAGUUCUAUAAUUGGGGUGCUCGCUGUCUGCGGGACCUCGUUGUGACCUGUUCACUGAAGUUAUUUUCUGUGAAAAAGAGCAGACUUCUGUUGUAGGAGAGACAACACCGUCACGGGCCAAGCCGUGUGAGUUCCAGGGAUGUUUCCACUUCGCUUUCACGGACACACCAGUGUGAUGUCAGAUUUCAACGUUCGUCACGCCGCUCCCCCCCGCCCCCCGCACUCAGUCCAUCACCACGUCCUGUGAGCCCUACCGCCCUCCGCCCCAAAUACCCGCAAAGUGCCUGUGUCUGUCUGCCCUGAGCCCAGCCCUUCGCGGGCCCCGCACCCCUAACUCCUCCAGGCCGCACAGGGCCGGGCAGCCGUGGGGAGCGCCUCUGAGCAGGGUGGCUUCCGGAGGCUCCCGGCUCUCCUUGCUCCCUUGUCCCCGCUCAGUCUCGCUUCUGCUGGGUCUCCCCCGACAGAAGGAAAGCGGCUGGGUGGCAGGGUCCUGCCUGCUUGCUCGCUGAUGUAGCCCAGCGUCUGGAGCCCUGCGGGCGCCAGGAGGCACUCGGUAAACGUGUGCAGGGGUGAAUGAGCGAACAGACCACAGCUGGCCAGGGGAGGGCACAGGUUCCCAGCGAGAGCUGGAGCCGCGCUCUCUCCCGACCCCCGCCUCUCUGAGGGCUCUGAGCUGAGUAAGUGUGGACCCGCCCUCAAGCCUUAGGUACCAGGAAGUAGGUGGAAUUGAUUUUCAGAGUUAAGAAUUCGUGAAAGAUACCUAAUUGUUAUUAUGCUUACAUUUCUUUCCAGUUGGUUCUAAAUUGUGUAUGAUCCGCCCAUCAGUCGAUGCUGCUAACAGCCAAAGGAAGUGGCAGGUGUAUUUUCUCCUUCAUUUCCGUCUGCAGUUCCUAGGGGCCGAUGAGCAUCCCUGUAACAAAGGCUCCUCUGUCCUGUGUCCUGUGAUGAUGCAGCAUCACCAGGGGCCACCCGUGCAGAGGUCCCCCCGUUGUCCUGGCGUCCGUGUAUCAAACACACAUGGGCCCACGGCCCUUCUGCCACUCACGGACCCCCCACCAGCACAGGGACAGGGUCCAGUGGGAGGCAUAUCAUGUAGGGCGUAGGCAAAAUAGAACAGGCCACCGCAGGGUCUGGUGACGGGCACUGGGGGCACACGGGGUGGCUGAGUCUGAGGUUAUAGGGGGGCGUGAGCCUCUACCUGAAUCUGCGGACACGGGGCAGAGUAUCCCCACGGCACACGUGUUAACAGCACUGCCACACGCUGGCAGACCCGGAAGCCAGAGGAGCAGGCGUUUACUCUGAGCCCCUGGAUGGACGCCGCGCCCAGAACCCGGGGGUCUUACAAAAGAAGGAAGAAACAGGCAAGUGCCAGGACCCCGCUGGGGAAGAUGCUGCAGGUCAGUGAAGUGAUCGUGGCGCACUGCCAGUUUCUGGUCCUCUCCGCGCCUGCGUAACCUUGCUUAGAGGAUAAGAGCAAAUAUACAGAUGCAUCUGGGACUGGGCGGGUGCCGAGGCGCGUGGGUGCCAGGACAUGUGACCUUUGUAGCGGCAGCAGAGAGCUAGGCAUUCCUCAGAAGUACGUCUGGAAGGUCAGCGCGUCCUAUAAAUUGGAGAAAGGCAAGUGGGUGAGGCUGGGGACCUUGGGUCACGGCUGGAGCCUAGUUCCUCCAGUGUGUUCCGGGCGGAGCAGAUACGGCCAGGGAACCCUGGCUGGACUGCUCUGCCCUUGGCUUGCCUUUGGGGGGUGGAUUUGGAGAGUUCUGGAGAACUGCCCCUCUCUGUGUCCCCUGUGUCCCCCUGCCCUUGUCGGGGGAUGCCCCGGAUGGAGCCCCUCCCACCACCCCUGCCAGCACCUCGGUGUCUGCCCCGGAGAGCUCUGGACACUCAGGGCUGGGUUAGCGUCAUGCAGACAACCCUUCUUUACUCUUGCUGCGUGAGUUGGUGGAAACAAGAAGGUGACAUGAAGAGUGCAUUUGGACACCAACAGGGUGGGAGGCACAAGCGGCAGGCGGUCACGUCCCGUGCGGCCUGCGCACAGGCUUCCUCGCAGGGCACGUUCGGGGCGAGGUCCCCACCUUCGUCGCACCAAUAGUUGGGAAUCCCUCCCCUGGUUACAAACAUACCUUGGUUUUACUUGAAAAAUAACAAAUGAUUUAACCAAGUGUCUCUCGCAUAGGAUGUUAUGAAGUGAUUUGGGAAGAAAUGAAAAUAUAUGGCUGUCUCUUCUGAAAGGGUCACCUGCUGACCCACAGAGGGUGAGAGAUUUUCGCCUGUGCUUCUGAACUUUUCCUUUCUCUCCUGCUCUGUUUUGUGCUGCACGUGUCCACCCAUUUCCUCUGCGGCACCGGGCCUCCCGCUGAUGAUUAACGGAGACUGCAGGGAAACCGUUCGGGAAGGACACCUCUGAGGGAUCGUUACAUCUGCACAGAGUCUGACUUAAGGAGGAAGUCUUCAUGCUCUUUGUACAGUGGAGAAGAUGGGCGAGGAGCAGGGUGGAGCGAGAAGAGACACUUGUCCAGAGGCUCCUGUCCCCAACCCCCCCCCCCCGCCGCCCCCCCCGUGUGUGCCCUGCUGCCCUGGGAGCAUGCCGGAGACACACGAGUGUUUCUGGACCAGCAGUGAAUAGAGGAAGCGGGGCCCAGCAUCUUCGCGGGUUAGAGAUGUUGUACCCAGUUUACCCGUGGGAGGCAAUGAAGUUCGAAUGAAUUGCUAAUUAGUAUCUACAGCAGUGUUUUUGGUGAUCAGUACAUAAAAUACUCUUACAGACCGCUAAGGAAAGGCAGCCCAGUAACUCUGCUCCAAAAGAAAAGUAGAUUAAGAUCUGAACAAGUAUUCGCAAAAGAAAGAGUUCAAAAGGCCGGUGAACGAAUGGAAAAUACCCUGAUUCACAAACUGCUAAAGAAACGUGCAAAAACUGUGUUGUGUUCUGCACCUUGGCGGGCUCUACAGACAGCAGGCUUCCCCUACACCGUAACGCCCAGCUACCGAAGGUCUGGGAGGCGGCCCGCGUGUGCUCCUGGCGGGAACACGAGUGGGCGGCGCUGUUCAGACGGGCUUGGCUCCAGCCCCGUCACAUCUGUGCACGCAGUCGACCCUGAGGGGGACGCGGGGGUGAGUACGCGGCGUCACCCCAGCAGCAUGCGCUCCACGAGAUGAAGGCAGAAAUAACCCAAGUGUUGGGUGACAGGGACCCGGCAGAGACUGCUGGCUGUUCUGGCUCCCCCCUUCCUCCCACAGUGAGAGGACUUGGCCACGUUCAUUUUUUCUUACUUACUGGAUCCGUGUGCACCAAGUUGAAAUAAUCAGUAUCCUGGGUUCAUGAAAAAUCGCCACGGUUAGCCUGUGCGUGCGUGUGUUUUUAAGUUUGCGUCUUUGUAGCAACGAGGUAAGCGCCCGUGAGCACAAGGCGCAGCGCGAAGGCCAGAUCCUCGCCAAUAACUGUGUUAGCCCACGUGCCCGCUCGUCCUGGCUGAGGGGACCCUGGCUCUUCUCUCCCUUGUGUGCAUCAUGUCAUGUUACAUGUGUGCAUAUAUUCCAGAAGGUAGAUUUCUAGUUGAUUUUUAACUUUGCAAAAUAGUGGCCUGUGGUAUGUCGUCUUUGAAACUUACUUUACAUGCUGUUGUAUGUUCCUGUAAUUUCUCCACUUUGACUGUUUGUGUUUUCUGCUUAUAUUAUAAUAUACUAAUCACGUUCCUCUCGAUGGCUAUGUGAAAUGUCUCCUGGUUUUUUCUCCCAGGAGCAGAGCCACUGUUCAAGAAUGAAUACGACAUUCCCAUGUA